CAGAAAGUAGUCUGUCUUCUCUUAUGUCAAAUAACUGAUGAGGCAGGUGUGGAAGUUAGCUCUCUCCUAUGCAAAACAGGCCAUUGCAAAUGGAAGCACAAUUUCAAGUUUCUGUAUAAUAUUGAUCCCCAAUUUCAGCCUAAGAGCUGUGAUUACUGAGAUGAAAUGAGCAGUAUCACUUGAGUAGCAACAAUUGUCUUUACUUUUUUUUCCCCCACGUUGUUAUCAAGGAUUUGCUAAGCAAUCUAUCACAGUAUGUCAGAUGCAAGCAAGAUCUGCAAUCUAGGAGCCAUAUAGCAGCUGAGAACAUGGAUUUAAGAGGCAGAGGCUUCAGUUUCCUGCUGAAUUUUAUCAGGACCUGGGGUCUGCUGUGUUACACAGAGACAAAGUGUUGACCACAAGAUGGGAGUGGGUCUCUGUAGCAUCUCACAGACUGAGAGGGUCACUGCCUAGAAGUAUAGGACACAAUUAUGGAUUGCAGGGGAAGAGCAUUUGGGGUUUGCACAAAACCUAUUGUGGGAUGUUGAGGGGAGGAAGGGACAGAUGUGUCUUAGGGAAAAAAAAAAAAGUAAUGUAGAGGGACAAGGGGCUGAGAGGGGGCAGUCACAUGUAAACACGUGGGUGGACAGCAGACUUGUUUGUACAUGCC